rnacentral:lncRNA from 1 species
AUCUUCUUUUCAGCCUAAACGUUUUCCCCAACAUGCCACUUGGGUAAUAUAAGGUAGAGCCAUGGAUUGAACCAGGAAUGUUCCUCUUCAAAACCUGAGCUCUUGUCCUCUCCACUACAUCCCUACCCCCACCCAUUCAUAUGACCAUUUGUUGCAUGAAACCACAUAUGCGUGCAUAUAUAAGAAAAAUGAAGAGAAUUAUACAUGGAGAGGUAUGGAUUGAUUAUAGAUCGAUGCCUAAUGUAGGGACAUAGUUCCAAAAGCACCCCCUCCAAUAUGAUUCUAUUAGUAUGUGUCAUCUGGAAACACAUGUUGCAUCCUAGCUGCAAGAAUUUCUAUACAGUAGGCCACAGCACAGAUUUUGGAGCAUUUAAGAAAUUUGAGGCUCUGAUUCGUCUAGUAUAAUCCUACAGGAGAUCUCUUUUCUUGUCCUUCCCCCAAACCCUUGCUGAUCAGGGCAAGUUUUUCAGCCUGCUUUGUGGAGUUUGUUUUGUCCUGAUUAGGAGGUGUUUACCAAAAAAAUAAAAUAAAAUCUACUCUUAACACCUUACUUUUCUGAAUCAUUAUCUUUGCUUAUUUCCUCACUGUAUGAUAUACUUGCCUGUAGAAAUCUAUUUAUAAUCAGUCUCAAUUACCAUCUACUGAGUGCAGGUACUGUGCUUGAGAUUGUCAUAAAUGAUCAUAUUUGAUUUUGGUUCUUGUCAAAUUGACCCCCAUCUUAUGGAUGAAGAACCUAGGCUCUGAGAUGUUGGGAGGCUUGGUUGAGUUUACUCUAUUCAUAAGAGGGUGGAACAGAGACUGGAGCUGGGCUUUGCUGAAGCCCAGCUCUUUCUGCUGUAAUAAUACUCUCUAGGCAGAAGAUUGUAUCUAUCCAAAUAUAUGGUGUUCCAGGCUGUUUGUUAGUUCUGCUGUGUUCUGGGAGCCUGCAGGCCCAGCCAAGCCCAGGGGACCGCUUGGGGCCAGGGCAGGUAGACUUACCUGCAGAAGCAACAGCCUGCCUAUCAGCAUAUCCACUUUCUUCCCAUUUCCUUUCCCAGCCUCCUUCCUAGGUUCACAAUGAGUGUCCAACUUCUGCCAGUCCUGACUCCCAUUCAAACCUUUUUUUUUUUUUUUUUUAAUUUUGAGGAAGAAAACCAUUGUGUGCACAAAAGGGUCCUGGUAACCAGAAGUGUCUGGAGAUUUUGAGCUGUUAACACAGAGAGUGGCGGAAGUACUUUCUAGGACAUCCUUAUGGGCCCAAAUGGCAGCUGGAGUCAACCUAGCAGACUUCUGGGCAGGUUUCCAAAGCACGGCUGUAAGUGGGUGAGGGCAGUAAUGGAGGCCCUGAUAUUUGGAGAGCACUCAAGUUGUGAGUGACAAAGUUUUCUUCGUCAGCUUAGGUUUCUAAACCAAUACCACAGACUGGAGGUCUUAAACAACAGACAUUUACUUCUCAUAGCCCUGGACCCAGAAAUCCAAGAUCGGAGUGCUGGCCUAAUUGGGUGCUGGUGAGAACCUCCUUCACAUUUGUUGUCUUCUUGCUCUGAACUCACAUGAUGGGGAGAAAGAGCAGAGAGAGGGAGCUCUUUCCUGCCUCAUCUUAUAAGGGCCUUAAUCCCAUCAUGCAAGCUCUACCCUCAUGACCUCAUUACCUCCCAAAGACUCCAUAUCCAAAUACCAACACUUUGGGGAUUAGGGUUUCAACAUAUGAAUUGGGUGGGGUGGGGUGCCACAAACAUUCUGUCCAUAGCAGAAAUAGAGAGCCCUGUAGUUUUGUGCAAUAAAACCAGGCCCCAUACUAGGCACUGGAGCUAUGGCCUGAACAAGACCAUCCAGACCCCAUCCUAAGAGAGUCAUAGUCCAGUGGGGGAGACCAACAGUUAAACGGGCAACAGCAACACACAGUGAUAAACACUUUGAGAGAGGGACAUAAAGGCUCUGUUGUAGCACAUGGGAGGGCACCUCACCUAGACAUGCUGCUGGGCCUCUUGAUUCAUUUUCCACUUACAUAUGCAAAAGUAACUUAGAAUUUGGGGUAGGAUGAAAAAGGAGGUGGUAGUUGUGGGCUUCUUAGGAGAGGCAGGUGACCUUCUGGAGCUGGGUACUUGAAGGGUGGGUAGGAUUUUGAUGGGCAAAGAUUUGGAAAAGCACAUCAGCCCAAGCAGAUGGCCUGGUCCCUAGCAAAGGCAUGAAUGGAGGAUAUGCCCAGUGGACAAGAGCUCAUCUCCAGGACCUAUGCAUAGAAUGCAUAGGGUAGGGUGGCGAGGGACACAGAUGGAAAAGCAGAUGGGAAGCAAGUCAGAGCCUUACAAGGUUUGGACUUUGUCCUACAGGUCCCAGGGAGCCAUUGCUGGCAUUUUGAGUGGGGCAGUGACACUGUGGGUCUGCAUUUUUGAAAUGGUUUCCUGGGAAGUUUGGAUGAUGCUGUGGGGAGGCCAGCAGGAUGGGACCAGUCUCUAGUAGUGGUGUUGGUGAGUAAUGAUAAGGGCAUCAGUCCUGGGGCAAGAGCUAAAUCACUGGUGUAGUCACCAGGCCUAGCAGAACCGGAGGGGGGCGCAAUCAGACAGCAAGCCCCAAACAUGUCAGAGAAAAGUUGAAGGUCCCCCUGGAAGAGCCAGGUCCACCUUAGAUCCAAGUAGCAAGCUCAAGGUUAGGAAUGAAAAGCUGCCAGAGAGCUAGAGCAGGGCAAAUGGAGGACCCCAGUGGGAGCUAGGGGCCAGAGUGGGGACGAAGCAAGGAGUAUGAGGGCUACUGUUGGAAAUUGGACUCAGGCUUCUCACUGAAUGUUGGUGUGUUUAUAUGUGUGUGUUGGGGGGUGUGUGUAUGUGUGUGUGUGUGUGUGCAUGCAUGCACGUGUGUGCUGGGCCAUCUGUGAGUACCUGUGCACAUGAACAUGUGCUGAGCAGGGAGGAGACAUGACUUGGGGAUGGACCAGGAGGACAACGAGGGGUCCAGCUGGGUUGGAUGGGAGACAUGCUCUAGGUCUUGGCACCCACACAGCCAGUCAACCCUUGGCCACCCGUGUCAAAAAAAAUGGAGAGCAAUGGGCUCCUGUCUGGAACAGUUCCGGCCUCCUUGGUCAUGCGUCAGACCAGGGAAGCAGCACCCUUAGCCACACGCAGCUGUCCACCUCAGCCGUCCAGCCACCAGGCCCUACACACCUGCUAAGUGACACCUGAGAUAUGGAGGAUAAUAACCUAAAGUCUUUUUUUUAGAAGACUUGAGUCAGAGUCCUUUCUGGCACUUUCCACAGGUUUCUAGAGGUUUUGUCCCCCACACUCAGGUCUGUGGAAACUGGUUUGUCUACAGGCUGGUCAUCCCGGGGGUUCCCGUGAAAACUUCCUGUCAUGUCCAGGAGCAAAGCAGCCUGCUGGACAGUGAGCACACUGCCUGGUGAAACUCCAGACGAAAGUGAGUGGCAUUUCCAAGACAAUCUCCCCAGAUCCUUUUCAGCGCUGUGAUUCCUUCCUUCCUUUCUUCCCUCCCCUGCUUGGCUGGAGCUAUCUGCCCAGUGGAGCUCUGUGAGAACGUUUCGGAGCAAUCCGGCCAUUCUGCUGGAUGGGGAGAUGGCGGCUGGCUGACCCCUCGCCGUGGUGGGUACUGUACCCACAGCCCAGAGGUUGUCUGCCUGCCCUCCCUCCUCUCCUGCUGCUGACGCACACGUCCUAUAAUAAGCCUCUGUUACUUGGAGCUGGGGCGGCUCCAUAGUAAGCCGAAACCGCUACUAUAUUUACACCCUUUCCACAUUUAGACAAAGGCUAUUUUUAACAGAAGGUCUAUUUGUGGGGGUUGCCCGCGUCACACUCUGUUCACAUGCAUCUCACCAUCCUGAGUCUAUUAUUUUGAUUUCACACUUGUACCAGGUUUCUUUCCUUCCCUCCUUCCCUCCAUCAUUUUGCUUUCGUUUCUUCUUUCUUUCUCCUUCCUUUCUCCAGUUUCCUUCCUUUCUUUCCCCAAGAGGAAAUCGGAACAAGAGGUCUUUGGCAGGCUGUGUUUCCAGAGUUUUUCUGGGGACACUCAGGGCCCCAUCCUCAUGGAGCAGAGUGGGCAGUGUAGCCAAGCUCUAGACCUGUGGGUUUUUUCAGUGCCAGUGGGGUGCAAGCACGGACCCCACUCCCUGGAGUCCAUAACGGCCUCCAAUUUAUCUGGGCAGGAUGCUGGGAUAUAGCCUGGCCUUCUUUCUCUGUAGCAUUCCAGUUCUGUGUGUGUGUGUGUGUGUGUGUGUGUGUGUGUGUGUGUGUGUUGGGGUUGGGGAAGGGGUAGCUAGCAAGGUCAGAAGAAAAUAAGCCAAUAGUUUCAUCAUUCAUGCAGAACCUUGUUUCAGCUUACAAGUUAAUGUUAUCAGAUUUUCCUAAGAAGCAGAAUUUUUGUUUGUUUUUAUGAAAGAGGAUUUCAUACUUCCUAGAUGCACGAUCCACUGGUGGGAAGGGGGGGAAGUCAGUGGAAUUAACACAUACUAAGUACCUGCUGUGGUCAAGUCUGGACCCUGACAAUGGUGCUAAGGGCUGGUCCUGCCUGCACCCAGGCUACAGGUGAGGAGACUGAGGCCCAAAGAGAUCUGGCAACUGCCCUGAGUUCAAUUAGCUGCUAAGUGGCAGAGCUGGGACUUGAAUCUACAGGUCUGGCCACAGACUGCAUGCUGGCCCCAAAUCUCAUACCUACUGCUUCCUUCUCACCUCUCCAGAAAAAUAAACAAACUUAAUUAAGGCUGUUUCUAUUACUUUCUGUUCCUGGGUUGGCUCCUGUCUUCAGCCCCCACCCCAGCUAGAAGAGACCCUUCCCACCUCGGAACUCUCAGUACUUGCAUGUACUUCUCAGUACUUGAAGGUCCCCUUCAGAUCCUGAAUGGUAACUGAUCUGAAAUACAAACACAUUGGAAUCUAAAAGGACACCAGCCCGUGGGUCCCUGGAAAGACCUUGUAAACACCCAAAGGUCUCAGAGAAACCCCAUGUUGUCAAAUCUUAUUUUAUUCCUCCAACAAUUUGGAUGGUGGUUUCAGAGUGAAGUAUUUUUAUUGUAUUUCUAAGAGCAAAGAGUACUGAGAUUUCGAAUUCUCCUCAGACUGUAGUGGAGGAGUACAGAGCCAAUUGUAGGGCACCUGCCCUCCUUAGCCCAGCUUCUACAGUGUCAGAAAACUCACAGAAACAAAAUGCUCCCCGGGUCCCCAUCAUCAAGACUUUAAAAUUGCUGACUCUGGCUCAGGCGUUUCCUGGAGACUCUGAUAAGAGAUUAUUAUCUACCUGGUGCCCUGCAGUCAGGAGACCCAAGCCCAGAAGCCUAGCAGCUGUGACAUUAGGGCAAGUCACAUUGCUUAUAUUCUAUUUAAUUUCUUCUUCCUUAAAAUGGUAUACCAAUACCACCUUUCCUACACGCUCUUUUCACAGUUUGCAGAGAAGUUUAAACAAGGGGAUUUAUGUCAGUGUGCUGCUUUGAAAGCUGGCAAAUACUACAAGACCAUCAGUUGCCAAGCUGAUGUUUUUAACGUUAGUAUAGAUACGAAAGAGAGCUCAGCAAAGCCAAGUGACAUGUUCAAGGUCACACAGCAAGUUAGUGGUUGAAAUAAGGGUUUAUAGUCCUGCUUCUCUCUGCAAAGGGCUGAAAAGAAAUUGCAGGGCCAGUGGAAGGCUCGGAUGCUGAGCUCUAGCAGUGCUGGGCCAAGUUCAGCCCAGAAAUGGGGACACUGAUCUGGGCUGGGUCCCAUCGCUCUCCCCGGCUGACCCUCCCUGCACCUUUGUGCCAGCAGCUUCUCAGGCUUCUCAGCAGUGUGAGUGUCCUGCCUCAGCCAGUGCCGAAAUCCCAGAACAGUGACAGAGGAGCCAGUGUCAUGGGGCUUCUGGUU